UGACCUCGGAUCAGGUAGGACUACCCGCUGAACUUAAGCAUAUCAAUAAGCGGAGGAAAAGAAACCAACAGGGAUUGCCCCAGUAACGGCGAGUGAAGCGGCAACAGCUCAGAUUUGGAAUCUGGCCCCUAGGGCCCGAGUUGUAAUCUGGAGAGGAUGUUUCUGGCGCGGCGCCUUCCGAGUUCCCUGGAACGGGACGCCGGAGAGGGUGAGAGCCCCGUACGGUUGGACGCCUAGCCUUUGUGAAACUCCUUCGACGAGUCGAGUAGUUUGGGAAUGCUGCUCAAAAUGGGAGGUAAAUUUCUUCUAAAGCUAAAUACCGGCCAGAGACCGAUAGCGCACAAGUAGAGUGAUCGAAAGAUGAAAAGCACUUUGAAAAGAGGGUCAAACAGUACGUGAAAUUGUUGAAAGGGAAGCGCCCGUGGCCAGACUUGUACCCCGCGGACCAUCCGGCGCCCUCAGCGCCGGUGCACUCCGUGGGGCGCAGGCCAGCAUCGGUUUUCCUAGGGGGAUAAAGGCGGCGGGAACGUAGCUCCCUCGGGAGUGUUAUAGCCCGCCGUGCCAUGCCCCUGGGGGGACCGAGGACCGCGCUCGGCAAGGAUGCUGGCGUAAUGGCCACCGGCGACCCGU
rnacentral:rRNA from 2 species